GUCAUCAAAAUGCGCUAUGUUGUUAUUCCAGGACGAGCCUUUUAACAGCUAUAAGAAAUAGGCUGAAUUAAAUACAUCUCGAAAUAGCUAAAUUAAUCUAAUGAAUUCAUCUAGCUAAAUAGAGUUUCGAAAAACUCUGGUAUCUGCUCACAUAGCUUUAACUGGCUCGCUGGCAAGCUUGAACCGAAAACUGUUACAGCUACAUUCUGCAAUUGUUAGCUAGCAAGCUACAAUAAAUUAGAGCUCUACAUAGCUAGCUAACCCGACCAUGUGCCAGGUUGAUGAGGAAUACAAUGGACAGCUAGAACACAGAGUGACCCUACGUGUCUCCAAGAAGUGUGUCAAAUGCAAAGAAAAUACAACUGUAUUGAUCAUCCGAGCUGGAAAUGCAUUUUGCAGGGGCUGCUUCAAAGAGUACUUCAUACACAAGUUCCGGGCCAUGCUGGGAAAGAACCGGGUCAUAUUCCCAGGAGAGAAGGUUCUUCUUGCAGUGUCUGGAGGGCCAGCCUCUAGCUCCAUGCUGUCACAGGUUCAAGAGGGUUUGAGUCGAGACGCACCCAAGAAGUUGAGAUUUGUCCCUGGAAUUAUCUACAUAGAUGAGGGCGGUGCCAGUGGUCAAAGCAUGGAAGAGCGGAAGAGGGCAUUGGCUCAACUGGAGUCAGUUUUCAGAGCCAGUAAUUACCAUUACCACAUAGUCCACCUGAAGCAGGUACUCAGUCUCCCCAGCUCAGUGCUAGAGGCAGGAUCCUCGGCAACGGAAAAACCUCAGACUGGGUCGAGUUAUAAAGCUGCUGUGGACCACUUCAUCCAGACCAGGAAGAACCAGAACCAGCACCCAGACCUCUCUGUGGAGAAUGUCCAGAGUCACCUGUCCAGUCUGAGCAUGCAGGAGGUCCAGAGUGGAGGAACCAGCCCCAUCACCCCUGAACACACUCAAGCCCUUCAGAGACUGUUUGCCUCUGUGAGGACGCUGACAGCCAAAGAGGAUUUGCUACAUACACUGAGGCAGCACCUGAUUCUCCACACAGCGAGGACGCAGGGCUACACCAAGGUGAUGAUGGGGGACAGCUGCUCCCGCCUGGCCAUCAAACUGCUCAGCAACAUCUCUCUGGGGCGAGGGGCAUCGCUGGCAACGGACACGGCCUUCUCAGAUCCUCGCUACGGAGACGUGGUCAUUGUCAGACCCAUGAGGGACUACUCCUCUAAAGAAAUAGCCUAUUACAACAGAAUGUUUUGACAUCCCUUCAGUCUUCAUCCCUGGCCUAGACUGUAAGGCACAAGACAAGGCCAGCAUCCAGCGCUUGACAGAGAGCUUUGUCACCAAACUCCGGGCUGACUUCCCCUCUACUGUCAGCACAAUCUACAGGACCAGUGACAAGCUCCACACAGCAUGUCCCCCUCAGAACACCAACACACAACUCUCUGCUAAGUGCCUACUGUGUGUCUGUGCCUUGGACACUAAACUAGAGGAGUUCUCUGCCUACCAGGCCACACUGAUCUCAGAGCAGCUGUCUCAGAGGCGAGGCCCACGUCCUGGGUUCACCCCUGGUACAGCAGCAGCUCCAGGGUCGCCUCCAGCCUCCUCGGCAGGCCAGGGCCAGUCCUCUGGAGGGGGCCAGAGUCAGGGCUGUGAGACUGGAGAGGGGGGCUGCUGCCCCUCUGCUAAGGAGCCAGAGACAGUGGAUCUUAAAAGCCUGCUGUGUUACAGUUGUGGACUGACCAUCAAAGACAUGACUGCACGAGAUGCCCUUCCCCAGUACGUACUGUCAGAGGCUGAGAGGAGAAGGUCUCAGAUGAGGGAGAUCAGUGAGUUCCUGCUAGAGGAUGAAGCCAUCCCGAGGGUCAAUGGGUCCUUGUGACAUAACGAAUACCCAGUGUGACUAGACAACUUCCAACGGCACAGACACUGCAGUGACAUUGUUCCCUUGGCAACUAUACAGCCAAGGCUGUUUGUCUUAAUAUGAACUGUAAUACCAGUUGCUUUUAUUAUUUAUUUUCAGUCAGUUUAUUAAUUAUUUGGCUAUAAGACAACUACCGUAAUUUCCGGACUAUUAAGCGCACCUGAAUAUAAGCCGCACCCACUGAAUUAAUUUAAAAAAAAUAUUUUGAACAUAAAUAAGCCGCACAUGUCUAUAAGCCGCAGGUGCCUACCGGUACACUGAAACAAAUGAACUUUACACAGGCUUUAACGAAACACGGCUUGUAACAAAAAUAAAUAGGCUUUAACGAAACACGGCUUGUAACAAAAAUAAAUAGGCUUUAACGAAACACGGCUUGUAACAAAAAAUAAAAAAUUAGCAGUAAGCUUUAGUUGUCUUUUUGCACUGAGUCAAUUCCUCACGCUGCUGUUUCCAACGUCUUAUCAUCGACUCAUUAAGACCAAGCUCCCGUGCAGCAGCUCUAUUUCCUUUUCCAACAGCCAGAUCAAUCGCCUUCAACUUGAAAGCUGCAUCAUAUGCAUUUCUCUGUGUCUUUGCCAUGAGGGUAACAAAAUGACUACCGUAAUCAGAAUGAUGGGAAGUUUGAGAGCGCUCGAUUUCAUCUAAACAAAAAAGUUGUUUGACCGUAACCCGUUCGGCAAUUUCAUUGGUCUAAUGAAAGCUUCAUGCCGCCAAAAAACUGAGCACGUCACAGAAUGUGUUUUUUUGGAGAAAAAAACAAUUGAAAGCGGAAAAAAUCCAUAUAAGCCACGAGGUUCAAAGCCUGGGGAAAAAAGUUGCGGCUUAUAGUCCGGAAUUUACGGUAUAGACAGUUUAAAUCAAUCGUAACUGCACCCAAAAUGAUUUGUACAUGGCACUGCUUGGUGGUGAAUCAAACUAAUGAAUUGAAUAUAUGAUGCUGAAACAGUUUGUUUUUCCAUGUCAGGAAUGAGAAGGAUCAUUUAUUUGUACAGAUGAACAAUAUUUUCAUUGGUUUAGGAGCUGAAUCACAUUAUAUUGGAAAUAGAAAUUAUUAUUCUUCCACAACAGAGAUCCCAUAGCAACAACCUACAUGGUUCUGCAUUAGAACUCCCAUCAGCAUCACGCAGGUUCUCUGAAAAUGAGAGCAAACAUAUGGCAAUAAAGUAUAACACAUGUUUAUUAAAGUUA